GGGGCGCUAGCUCAACGGCUGAGAGCUGCCGGUUCUUACCCGGCCGAUCGGGGUUCGACCCCCCGGUGCCCCA
rnacentral:tRNA from 1 species